AUUGAACGCUGGCGGAAUGCUUUACACAUGCAAGUCGAACGGCAGCACGGGGGCAGCCCUGGUGGCGAGUGGCGAACGGGUGAGUAAUACAUCGGAACGUGCCCGGUCGUGGGGGAUAACGUAGCGAAAGUUACGCUAAUACCGCAUACGAUCUGAGGAUGAAAGCGGGGGACCUUCGGGCGUCGCGCGCUCGGAGCGGCCGAUGUCCGAUUAGGUAGUUGGUGGGGUAAAGGCCUACCAAGCCGACGAUCUGUAGCUGGUCUGAGAGGACGACCAGCCACACUGGGACUGAGACACGGCCCAGACUCCUACGGGAGGCAGCAGUGGGGAAUUUUGGACAAUGGGCGCAAGCCUGAUCCAGCCAUUCCGCGUGCAGGACGAAGGCCUUCGGGUUGUAAACUGCUUUUGUACGGAACGAAAAGGCUCUGGCUAAUACCUGGGGCUCAUGACGGUACCGUAAGAAUAAGCACCGGCUAACUACGUG
rnacentral:rRNA from 1 species